AAUGAGAUGGCAGAGUGGCUAAUGCGCUUCACUGUAAAUGAAGUAGGAUUCCUGUCGGGGGUUCAAAUCCCCCUCUCAUUA
rnacentral:tRNA from 2 species